rnacentral:rRNA from 1 species
UACGUAGGGUGCGAGCGUUAAUCGGAAUUACUGGGCGUAAAGCGUGCGCAGGCGGUUUUGUAAGUCAGAUGUGAAAUCCCCGGGCUCAACCUGGGAAUGGCAUUUGGGACUGCAAGGCUGGAGUACGGCAGAGGAGACUGGAAUUCCUGGUGUAGCAGUGAAAUGCGUAGAUAUCAGGAGGAAUACCGAUGGCGAAGGCAGGUCUCUGGGCUGAUACUGACGCUCAUGCACGAAAGCGUGGGGAGCAAACAGG